rnacentral:rRNA from 1 species
GGGACGUGUCCCGUUUUGUAUGUACCUUAUGAAUAAGGAUCGGCUAACUCCGUGCCAGCAGCCGCGGUAAUACGGAGGAUCCGAGCGUUAUCCGGAUUUAUUGGGUUUAAAGGGUGCGUCGGCGGCCUUUUAAGUCAGCGGUGAAAGUCUGUGGCUCAACCAUAGAAUUGCCGUUGAAACUGGGGGGCUUGAGUAUGUUUGAGGCAGGCGGAAUGCGUGGUGUAGCGGUGAAAUGCAUAGAUAUCACGCAGAACCCCGAUUGCGAAGGCAGCCUUCCAAGCCAUUACUGACGCUGAUUCACGAAAGCGUGGGGAUCAAACAGGAUUAGAUACCCUGGUAGUCCACGCAGUAAACGAUGAUCACUAGCUGUGUGCGAUACGCUGUAAGCGGCACAGCGAAAGCGUUCAGUGAUCCACCUGGGGAGUACGCCGGCAACGGUGAAACUCAAAGGAAUUGACGGGGGCCCGCACAAGCGGAGGAACAUGUGGUUUAAUUCGAUGAUACGCGAGGAACCUUACCCGGGUUUGAACGCACUCGGACCGAGGUGGAAACACCUUUUCUAGCAAUAGCCGUUUGCGAGGUGCUGCACGGUUGUCGUCAGCUCGUGCCGUGAGGUGUCGGCUUAAGUGCCAUAACGAGCGCAACCCUUGCCACUAGUUACUAACAGGUAAAGCUGAGGACUCUGGUGGGACUGCCAGCGUAAGCUGCGAGGAAGGCGGGGGUGACGUCAAAUCAGCACGGCCCUUACAUCCGGGGCGACACACGUGUUACAAUGGCGUGGACAAAGGGAUGCCACCUGGCGACAGGGAGCGAAUCCCCAAACCACGUCUCAGUUCGGAUCGGAGUUUGCAACCCGACUCCGUGAAGCUGGAUUCGCUAGUAAUCGCGCAUCAGCCAUGGCGCGGUGAAUACGUUCCCGGGCCUUGCACA